GUAACGAAAGCAUAUUGGUUUAAUUAGGGGUGUGACGACGAGACAGCCAAUGUGAAACUGUCGAAAUAGACCUUGCUGAAUCGUUGUUAUACAGGAAUACGAUUGCGUGGGUGUUUGAAUCUAGAUCGCCAAUCGCCAUCUUUAAGUGAUUUAAAGCAGCACUAUUUAACUUUUAUGCGCUCUAACGGUUAACAAACAGAACUCCACGUGUCCCGCGGAAGAACAUUCUAACCGGAGCAACUUCUCUAAGUUUGUCUAUGGUGGUCCACGCAGGAUGUGCAGACAUAAAAGUCAUCGAGGCAAGAAAACCAGCCGAUCAGUGCGAGUCGGGUCUCUCUUCGAGAGAUCAAAACUCAGCUUGUCAUCUUGGCUAAUAUUCAUUUACAGGUUUGCUCAGGGAUUGCGGAUUAGACAAAUUGAUAUGAUGCAAGAUGGCAUUGCAAAAAGUUCCAGAACCCUCUCUAAGAUGGCUCGUAUCAUGAGGAAAGUUUGCCACUGUGCUAUAAAACGAUACAGACGAAGACAUGGACAAAUGAUUGGAAGUGCUCGAGAAUUUGCUGUUCUUGAUGAAAGUAACUUCCGUCAUAAACGAAAGUAUGGACGAGGGAGAGCAUCAACAACAUGGAGGCGAAAAAAAUGGGUCUUUGGCAUGCUAGGUGUGAGGGAUAAAUGCAGACACCCAAUCUUGCGGCUUGUGAAAAGAAGAUCAAGACCUCACCUAAUCCCCAUAGUUGUAAAACAUGUGCGUCCAGGCACUACCAUUAUUUCAGAUGAGUGGAGAGCCUACCGGGGGGCUUUGGCCAAUAUGGGCUACAAACAUUUUACAGUGAACCAUUCCCAGUGGUUUGUAGACCCACACACUGGAGCUCAUUCACAACACCUUGAAAGAGCUUGGUUGACAUACAAAACAAGUGUAUGGAGACUAAGGGGGAACAGGACAGAGAAAAUGCUAAAAGAGCACCUCUCUCUCAUAGAGUGGACUCAUUGGCUUGGUGAAAAAAAUAAACGGGGGCCACUUGGGCGCCUAAUAAAAGAUAUUCACCAUCAAUUUCCUGUUUAGAGGACAACACACUGAACUUUUGAUUGUGUUUUAUGUAAUAUUUAAGUAAAAUACAAGUUAACUUGUCCUCUUGAUUUAAGGUGCACUGAUAUUUAAAAGCUUUGUUUAAUAAAAUGUGUAUUUUACCUUUUUAA